CUUGAAGCAGCAGCCUGGGGUGGUUGCUGCAGAGAGAGAGGAGAGACCGGUCCUGCCUUUGAGUCCAACGUCCAGUCCGAAGCUAAGAUUGAGCUACUGACCAAAGGGCAGGUGUGCCCGUCGGCCCUCGGCCUGCCUUUGCCUUGGUCCUUCUCCAUUCUCAACCUUGGGCAGCGCUGGGUGACCCUGCGGGGUCAGGGCGGGAGUUGGCCCCUCUUGGGGACAGAGUGAUGGUGGCCAAGUGUGGUUGUCAUAGUAACGAGGCGGCUGCUGCCACUGCUGUUGGCUCAGGGGGCACCUGCCUGCCUGCAGGUUAUGAUCUGCCCUCUCCAGGCUGAGGCGCCAAGACCACUUGCCUUUGUUCCCAGCACUUUGCCUGGGAUGCUGGCAGCCAGACCUCAGCCCCACCCUGCAUGGCAGGAGCUCAGGGCUGUGUCGCAAUGUGACUAAUGGAUGAGAAGGUUGAGGAGGAAAGCCAUUACUUCACCAAUGUGAAUCAAGGUCAUUAGUCAUCUCGGGAAGCACGCGGAGCUGCGACGUUCAGGAGGGAGGCACGCUGCUCUGAGACAAGCCAUGGUGUGGCCUGGCACUGGUCCCACGCAGCAGGGAGAAGGGGAGCUUCUGGAAGUGAGGAUGAGCCGGGCUGCCAGGCCUAGGACCCUGGCCAUGUGUGCAUCAGCCCCUCCCAAGGAAAAGAGCCCAAGUUCUAUGUGGGGUCACGAGUAAGGCAAUGGUGCAGUUCCCAGGAAGUGUCGGCAGGAGCUGACUGGCCACCAUCUCUGGCGGCAGUCUCCUGGGGACGGUGACCGGAGGAUCAGCAGCCUCUGACCCCUGGUGUCACCUGAAGAAAUCAGGUCUAUCAUGAGCCACCAGAAUGUCCUCUGCCUAGUGUAGCAAGCCACACUUGCUGCCUUUCCGGGAGAGUUCGAAGCAAGCCACCUGGGUGGGUUCUUUUCAAAGUUCUCUGCCUCAGAGGAGGAAGCCCCAUGGGUGGAGGCCAGGCCUGAGGCCAUCCUGCUCUGGGCCAGAGAGUGCCUGUGUCUGAGGAGCGAGGACAUACCUCGUCUGGCUGAGCCUUCAUUUCACACCGGCAGCCUGAAUCCCCCAGCACGGCUUGCCUUUGGGCUCCCCACCCCAGGGGCCCGGCCCUGACAUGCGCUUGUCCUUCAUCCCUCAGGUCUGUGUCCCUUCCCCAGUCUUCAGGUUCUCCGAGGCCCUCCUUAUUCACAGAAUGCAACUAGCCUAUUUAUUUGCUUGCUUGCUUCUGAUGUCUUCUCUCACUGAAAGGUAAGUUAGGUGGGAGAUGGAAUCAGGCCAGCUUUGGUUCACCAUUACAUCCUCCACACCUUUGUUUUUUGAUGUGUUUUCUUAUUUUAGAGUUGGAGGCUUUCUCUUCACUGAGGCUGGAGGGCAGUGGCACAAUCAUAGCUCACUGCAGCCUCGAACUUCUGGACUUGAGUGAUCUUCCUGCUUCAGCCUCCUGAGUAACUAAGACUACAGGUGUGGAUCAUCACCAUGCUUGGCUAAUUAAAAAAAAUAGUUUUAAUAGAAAAGUUAGUUGUUUUAAUACAAAAGUUACGACACGUGGUAGUGUGAACCUGCAGUGCCAGCCACUGAGGAGGCUGAGGUGGGAGGACCACUUGAGCCCAGGAGAUUGAGUCUGCAGUGAGCUGAGAUUGCACCACUGCAUUCCAGCCUGGCAACAGAGUAAGAACCUGUCUCAAGAAAAAAAAUUUUUUUUUUGUAAACGUGGGGUCUCACUAUAUUGCUCAAGCUGGUCCUGAACUCUCAGGCUCAAGGGAUCGUUCUGCCUCAGCCUCCAGUGUCACUGGGAUUAGAGGUGUGAGCCACUGAGCCUGGUUCCCCUCAAAACUUUUUGUGGAGACUGGCACCAGGGAAACCCAAUAUCUAUCCUUUGAAUGAAUGAAUGAAUGAAUGAAAGGAAGUAAAUGAAGAGGAGGUGGGGGUUAGAAGAGGCACAUUUUAGAUGAGUAGAUACCAUACAAAGGCCCUCCCGGGUGCUAUCAUCACCAGUUCGGGGCAGCCCGUGAGCCCCCGGAGGGAGGUCUCCCUGACACCCUGCCAACUCAGCCUGGGGCCAAGCAAGAGCCACAUCCAAGGACUGGGUCAUUAUCUGAUGAAUGAGUGGGUUAUGCGGAUGAGUAAACAGGGCCUGACCCAGAGGUCAGGUGUAAUUCAGCCUCAGAAACUGCAUGUGUCAAUGGGAACCGAAGGCCCCAGGAAUGUGUUUUCUGUUGAUGUCAACUUGCUGCAAAAGACCACACCUGCUUCUCGGUCCAGGAACGUGGGAAAGGGAAAUGCAUGGUUUGUUUUGGUGGAGAUGGAGGAGCUGGUAACAGUGGAGGGAUGCCCUUCUUCUGAUUCAGAGUGGGGAGGUGCUCUGGGCCCCUGCCAUUGUCUGAUCGGUGUCCUGACCUGGCUGCACUGCUUCCGGGUGAAGCUUGUAGUUGGUUUAAUGCUGAAGGAGCUGUCAUUUGCCGAGGCUGGGAUGGGAUUCAGCUCUGCUCAUGAACUCUGCGGGCUCUCCAGAACUUUCUGAAAUCAGCCUCACCAUCCACAGCUGUGGUUACCAGGACCAUCAGCCUGAGGAGAAUCAGCUCUUCCACACUGAGACCUGAAGACCACAUGGCAGAGUGAACUGGAGCUGGGUACUAGCAGGCCUCUUAGGUGGGGCAUGCACCCCGCAGUGUCCCAUGUCCUCAUUGUUCCCUGUGGCCCAUGUCCCCAUUGUUCUCUGUGGCCAUAUUCAUUCCACUUGACUUACUUUUACCCUCUGUCCAGCUCCUCGUUGGCAUUUUCUUUUUCUUUUUGUUUCUUUUUGAGACGGAGUCUCGCUCUGUCACCCAGGCUGGAGUGCAGUGAC